CAUUGCAAGCAUCCGGGACUCUUGUGCGUGGGAGGGAGGACGACUAUAGCCCAAGAGUUAGCCUAUACUUUUAAAGAUGUCCUGAAAGACAGAGGACCUGAGCGCGAGCCGGGAGGAUGGUCACGACUCAGCAUGCAGUAAACAGGUGUAAAUGUUUUCAAAAAGGCUACCAUUCAAAAGGGAGAGACUGCCGAACUGACUAAAUGUGUGAAAAGGAUUUGAGACAGGAGGAGCACUAAUGUUGAAGGAGCCAAGUGACAAACAACCGGAUUCAAUUAAAACACAGUCCACACUUCAUAUCAGCAGCGUGAGGAGUGCUGUCCGUGCUGCUGUGCUGAGUGCGUGUGUGGUAGAACCUGCCCUGCAGUGUGGAGAUCACCCUUCUCUCUGAGUUCAAAGGCACAGGAGCUCAGAGGGCUGGAUUUGUUCAGGCAUAUUUGCUAAACCCCUGGAUUUGAAUUGUAGUGUUCGAGGCCCUGAGAUCACGUUUAAGAAAUGUUACAUUGUGAGAUUUUGUGUGAAAUCCCCAUAAUAAAUUCACCAAGUGUGCACAAGAAAUGGCUAUUUA